rnacentral:rRNA from 1 species
UACGGAGGGUGCAAGCGUUGUUCGGAUUCAUUGGGCGUAAAGCGAGUGUAGGCGGUUUGACAAGUCGGAUGUGAAAUCCCGGGGCCCAACCCCGGAACUGCACCCGAUACUGUCUGGCUAGAGUCCCGGAGAGGGUGGCGGAAUUCCCGGUGUAGGGGUGAAAUCCGUAGAUAUCGGGAGGAACACCAGUGGCGAAGGCGGCCACCUGGACGGUGACUGACGCUGAGACUCGAAAGCGUGGGUAGCAAACAGG